GCUACGAACAGUUUCCUGCGAUUCUUUGGGACGGAAAAUUAAACCCUCUCUCCCCGCCGUCUCCAUCCUAAGAAGGCGCAGCCAGAGGAUGCUUGAGGAGCUCUCACUCGGGUCUCCCCUCGGCCCAGAGCCGCCGCCUCGGGCACCGGCUGGGGAGGCUUGGGAAGGCAAGCCUGGGGCAGAGCUGCGGGAGCCUUCGGCUGCUUCCCGCGGAGCUCAGCCUUCGGCCCAGGCUCCGCGCUGCGGGUUGCGGGCGGCCGCGCAGGCCUCCUGAGGACCGGGCUGCGCCAGAGCGGCAAGAGCCAGCGGGAGCUGUUAAGACUCCGGGGAGAGGAGGGCCAGCCGGAAUAGCCUCGCUCCAAGCAAGCUAGGGCCCACUUUAUGGGAGCGUGUAGCUCAUUCCUGCACUUCGCUGUCCCUCUGCAGCCUGGAAGAGUGGACGGGCGCAUGGCUUUAGGGACUAGGAAAGGAAUAGGUUCGAAUCCCAGUUCUGCCAUUUACGUGCAAUGUAACCUUAGGCAAGUGACUUAACUUCCUUUAGCCUGUUUCUGAUCUUUCCACCGAGGGCCAAGACAGCACCCUCCACACAGAUGUAAUGAAGAAAAAAAGAUCAUGGAUUUAAAGUACCUAGAAUACAGUAGGCACUCACCAAACUUUCAUCACUCCCUCUUUUCUUUUUCCAUCUCCCCCUAUUAAAAACUUUCCUACUGCAACAUACAUUCAGCGUUCCUGAGGUUCCUAAAGACCACAGGCCCAUCCUCUGCUGGCUGGUUGCAUCAUGCCACAGACCCAGCUGUUGACAGACGUCCACCCUGCCGCCUGACUGCACCACUUCUCCAAGAUCAACAACCCGGCCUGUGGGUAAAUCUCAACUGCCACCCCAGCCCCCAGACUUCAGGCCCAACCUAGUCUCUUGGGGACUCAAGGAUGACACCUAGGUGUGUGGUGAAGCUGAGAUUUAGGAGAUAAAAAGUGACUGUGGGGAAAAACUCAGUGAGCAAGUCAGUGACAGACUCCCAUUUUCUGGGUCUGCUUUGGAGGCGGGUCAGUCUGAUCUCUGCGGUUCAUCUUACAGGGCAGAGCUUGGGGGGGGGCACAAAGUCCUACCUUCUACCUACCGGGCGUAACUUUCAAACAUAAAUAUAUGUGUGCUUGUACUGCCCAAGCACAUGCACUAGUGUUCGUGUGUGCAAACACACAUGUUCAUCUCUGUUGGCAUAAAAUACGACCGGCAGCGAUGCAGAGCUAGGGUCUACACAGACACAGCAAGUGUAAGUGUCCAGUGCCAGGCGGGAGGAUGCACUUGUAAACGGGUAAAUUGCAUGUUAUACAUGCAAUUGCAUGUUCAGACAAUACUACCUAAAUCACUGCGUGCGCUUCUCCGAGGCCACGUUUUGCGUAUUUGAAAAAACUCCUUAAGUUACAAGUACGUGCGUACACGCUGCACAUGCACAGAUGCCCCAAUGCGACGGAAGGACCAUCAACCCAAAGACGCGCGCGUGCGCGAGUGUUCACACAGACGUGUGCCUUGGCGCCUGCACACGGCCCGCGCCCAGGCACGCGGACGCCUACACGUAUACACAGGCAUGUUUUACCGACGCAUCUGGGGCACUUUCUUUCAAAGAAAGUAAGGAAUGAAAACCUAAUCUGGGAGUCACCGGGGUUCAUCUGGAGGUCGCCCAAAGGGUAGAAAAAAUUGUAACAACGCUGGAGAGGGUGUCCUUGGUGCAGCUCCGCGCCCAGGCUAGAUGGAUACAAUACGCUUUCGAGAAUUCUAGGGGCUGCUUUAGGAGGAGGGGGGCGGGUGGGGGAGGAGGAGCACUCGGCAACUCUUGCCGCGGGCUUCUCAAGAAACAGGGAAACGCACCCUGCGGCUCUUCACUCCCCCCCACCCUCACAAAUGUAAGUACACGGUUUUAUCGCCUGUCCGACCUGCAGCCCACGCCCAUCCCUGACCGACCCCAAAUUCCCUGGCAGUCAAGAUUCCCGCCGGUGCGCCCGCUUAAGCAUCCCUAGGUGUCAGGCUGGGACGCGCCCGGGUCCGCUAGAGACUCAAAAGCAUCUCCCGCCGCGGGGCGGGAUCUGGGUGCCCUAGCCCUGGGCUCAGAGGCGGGUAACUUUGCUAAUCUCCCCCAGCGGCGGGGCGGGGGUGGGGGGUGGGGGGGACGUCGCACAACCGCUGAGCCCUGUCCGUGAAGACUAAACAAGGAAAGGAACAGGCUGUAAACACACAUCCUGACACGUGAGUGACAUUUACACGGUGCGAGAAGCCGCAGCCGAGGGGAAGGCAGGGGGUAGGGGGAGCAGGUAAAAGUAAUAUUCCGAGGCGUCGGAAACGGCGGCCCCUCGACGCCCCUCCCCCAGAUAGGGAAAAAGAAUCCCGAAAUCCCCAGAACCUGCCUUUUGUGGGAGGUGACAGGUGAACGGGAUUCAGGUCUGGCUACUCACGCCGCUGCCUACCUCCCCACCAUCUGCUUCCUCGCAGACAAGCAGACCCGGCGCAUAAUGAGGUAGCAGCCUCCAGCCGGCCACCGUGACUAACUCAGAACAAAAGCGCUCCCUCCACGCCUCUUCCAACAAAGGGGCCACCAGCCCCGGCGCUCCCCGAAGGCUGCGGGGCUCCCGGCUGCCGGCUGCGGAGCUGCCGCGCGCAAACUUCCCGGGGCUCCCGGGGCUGCCGGCGCCACGGAGCCUGGGCCGCGGAGGGAGGAAGCACAUGCGGCCCAGAGAAAGCAGGGAUGUUGCUCUUGGAGAAUGUGAAGACAGUUUGCUUCUUGACAAGCGAGCGAGCGGGCGCCCAGAUUUUUGCAGCCUCUCCGAGAGUCUCCCCCGAGGGAAAGGCAGGCAGAGAAAUCGCCGGAUUUGGGAGUCACUAGGGAAGGAUUCCGCGCGGAGGGAGCCGCCCUCCUUGGCCCCAGACCGGCUGCCUAGGGCCCCCCCUUUGGGCACUGCCAGUGGAUGACCUGAAACUCUGAGGAUGGUCUUGGGGAUUGGGGUCGGGGAAGCCUCUCGGAUAAUAACUGCAAAUAGAAAAAGAGGCAAAAACAAUUUCUUCUCUGCCUCGAAGCAGAAAGGACUGUUCUUAAAGCCGCUGGUUGCAGUCA